GACGAACGCUGGCGGCGUGCUUAACACAUGCAAGUCGAGCGGUAAGGCCCUUUCGGGGGUACGACGAGCGGCGAACGGGUGAGUAGCACGUGGGUGACCUGCCCUCAGCUCUGGGAUAAGCCUGGGAAACCGGGUCUAAUACCGGAUAUGACUCCAUGACGCAUGUUGUGGGGUGGAAAGCCUUGUGCGGCUGAGGAUGGGCCCGCGGCCUAUCAGCUUGUUGGUGGGGGA
rnacentral:rRNA from 1 species